rnacentral:rRNA from 1 species
GUCUAUGUCCACACCACCCUGAGCAUGCCUGGUCUCAUCUGAUCUCGGAAGCUAAGCAGAGUCGAGCCGGGUUAGUACUUGGAUGGGACAUGUAGGAUACACGUAUUGAAUACAGAGAAACAAAGAGU